CCUACGGGCGGCAGCAGUGAGGAAUAUUGGUCAAUGGGCGCGAGUCUGAACCAGCCAAGCAGCGUGAAGGAUGACGGCCCUACGGGUUGUAAACUUCUUUUAUAAAGGAAUAAAGUGAGGCACGUGUGCCUUUUUGUAUGUACUUUACGAAUAAGGAUCGGCUAACUCCGUGCCAGCAGCCGCGGUAAUACGGAGGAUCCGAGCGUUAUCCGGAUUUAUUGGGUUUAAAGGGAGCGUAGGUGGGUUGUUAAGUCAGUUGUGAAAUUUUGCGGCUCAACCGUGAAAUUGCAAUUGAUACUGGCAGUCUAGAGUACAGUUGAGGUAGGCGGAAUUCAUGGUGUAGCGGUGAAAUGCUUAGAUAUCACGUAGAACUCCGAUUGCGAAGGCAGCUUACUAAACUGCAACUGACAUUGAGGCUCGAAAGUGUGGGGAGCAAACAGGAUUAGAUACCCCGGUAGUC
rnacentral:rRNA from 1 species